AUGAGAGGGGGGCUUCGCGCUCCAGGGGUUCACGCCCCGCACCUUUCCACCCUGUGUAUAUUUCCCACUGUUGCUUUGGCAGGCCCCCGGGGUUUCCCCCGGCGCCGGCUCCCCUAAACCGGGGUUGGCGUGUGCCUGCCAGAGGCCCACCUCAAAUCAAUUGUUAUAUCAGUGUAGUCUGAGUUGACGAGAAAUCAAAUAAAACUUUCAACAACGGAUCUCUUGGUUCUGGCAUCGAUGAAGAACGCAGCGAAAUGCGAUAAGUAAUGUGAAUUGCAGAAUUCAGUGAAUCAUCGAAUCUUUGAACGCACAUUGCGCCCUUUGGAAAUUCCGAAGGGCAUGCCUGUUCGAGCGUCAUUAAACCCCUCAAGCUUUGCUUGGUCUUGGGUGAUCGCGGCCCCUAACACAGGGGCGCGACGCCCCAAAUUCAGUGGCGGUCCAGGGAGACUUCAAGCGCAGUAAUACCCCUCGCUUUGGAAGCUUCUGCCUGCGAAUUCGGCCAGCAACCUCUGUAUGUCCAACGAA
rnacentral:rRNA from 1 species